rnacentral:rRNA from 1 species
AUGAAGAGCAGGAAGAGCUACGGGCAGCAGCAGAGCCACCUGCUGAGCCCGGUGGGCAGCCCGUCGUCGGACAACGGCGGGGGCGACUCGCCGGCCAAGGAGCAGGACCGGUUCCUCCCGAUCGCCAACGUUAGCCGCAUCAUGAAGCGCUCCCUCCCGGCCAACGCCAAGAUCUCCAAGGAGGCCAAGGAGACGGUGCAGGAGUGCGUGUCCGAGUUCAUCAGCUUCGUCACCGGCGAGGCCUCCGACAAGUGCCAGCGGGAGAAGCGCAAGACCAUCAACGGCGACGACCUGCUCUGGGCCAUGACCACGCUCGGCUUCGAGGUCUACGUCGCGCCGCUCAAGGCCUACCUCAACCGCUACCGCGAGGUCGAGGGCGAGAAGGCCGCCGUGGUCGGCGGCUCGCGGCUCGGCGACGACGACGCGCAUUCCUCCCUCUCUGCCGCCGGCGACGCCCUGGCGCCGCAGUACACGCACGGGGCUGGCGACCGCGGCGUCCAGGACGGCGACUUGGGCGGCCACGACGCGCACGUCGGGCUCAUGAUGGGCGUCAACAUGGGGUUCAACCCCGGGACCGGGACAACGUUCUACGCGGCGCCGGGUGCGGCGCAUGGACGGAGGGCGUACGGCGGCGGGGAGGGUGCAAGGGGGAUUGAUUUCGAGGCUGCCUUCGGUGGCGAUCGCGGGAAGAACGGCGCCGGAGGCGAAAGGGAGUUCGCUGGCCACCUCCACGGCGCGGUGCAAUGGUGA